CAAAAUAGAGCUGGAAAAGAGAAAUCUGGGGCGCAAAAUGGGCUCGAAUCGGGGGAUUUAGGGUUAAUCCCGCGCCCCCGGCGCACGACGAGGUCAGAAAUGGGAAUUUGGGAUCAGACACGCGAUCCAGGCGCAAAACGGGUCAGAAACGGGGAUUUGGGGCCGAUCGCGCGCCCCUGGCGCUAAACGAGCUCCAAAAGGGCCACUUUGGGUUAAACGCGCGCCCCCGGCGCAGAAUUAGCUCAGAAUUGGGCGGUUGGGGUUAAUCACGCGCCCCCCUCGCAGUUUGGGCCGAGAACGGGGGAUUUUGGGGUCGGCGCGUCCCGGGGCCCCGCCGGUACUUACUCCGCUCGCUCACCUUUUCCUGCCUCUUAUUUUGGGGGGAAUUUCUAGUUUUUAUGCCUUUUUUUUUUUGGAGCAAAUUGUCCAUUUUGGGGCGAAUCGAGGCGGUUUUGGCACUGUCACUGUGGGGAGGGGAGAGAGACAACACCCAACCCCCCAUCCCCCGAACCUGCUCCUCCAUCCCUUUGCAUUGGGGGAAAAUCCGGGGAAAAUGGUUCAAAAGCUCCUCCCCCUCCCCAGGCACCACGGGAAGGUGCUGACUAAGCGCUUUUUUGGGUGGAAAAACCCCUGCUUUUUGUUUAAAUUCCCAGCUUGGGGUCGGGCCCUGCCAGCAGCGCAUUCUGAGGCAAUUUUAGCAAUUUUGGGGUCUUUUCUUGGGGGCAAAACUACAUUUUUUAAAGCUUUAGGAGCUUUUGUUUAAAAAAUAAAUUUAGGAGCUUUUUUAGCA
rnacentral:lncRNA from 1 species